rnacentral:rRNA from 1 species
AGGUAGUCAAGAUGAGAAUUCUAAGGUGAGCGAGCGAACUCUCGUUAAGGAACUCGGCAAAAUGACCCCGUAACUUCGGGAGAAGGGGUGCUCUUUAGGGUUAACGCCCAGAAGAGCCGCAGUGAAUAGGCCCAAGCGACUGUUUAUCAAAAACACAGGUCUCUGCUAAACCGUAAGGUGAUGUAUAGGGGCUGACGCCUGCCCGGUGCUGGAAGGUUAAGAGGAGUGGUUAGCUUCUGCGAAGCUACGAAUCGAAGCCCCAGUAAACGGCGGCCGUAACUAUAACGGUCCUAAGGUAGCGAAAUUCCUUGUCGGGUAAGUUCCGACCCGCACGAAAGGCGUAACGAUUUGGGCACUGUCUCAACGAGAGACUCGGUGAAAUCAUAGUACCUGUGAAGAUGCAGGUUACCCGCGACAGGACGGAAAGACCCCGUGGAGCUUUACUGUAGCCUGAUAUUGAAAUUCGGCACAGCU